AUGGAACUGCUGGGCCUUCUCCUUCGCCUGGUGGCAGCUUUCCAAGGUGUCCUGUCCCAGGUGCAGCUGCAGGAGUCGGGCCCAGGACUGGUGAAGCCCUCACAGACCCUGUCCCUCACCUGCACAGUCUCUGGAUCAUUCAUCACAACCAGCAUUAGUUGGUGGCACUGGAUUCGCCAGCCCCUGGGGAAGGGACUGCAGUGGAUUGGGGAAAUAGAUCAUUCUGGAGUCACAAAAUACAACCCUUUUUUGCGGAGCCGCAUCUUCAUUUCCAGAGACACGUCCAAGAACCAGUUUUUCCUGCAGCUGAGCUCUGUGACUGCCGAGGACACGGCCGUGUAUUAUUGUGCAAGAGACACAGUGACAGGAAGUCAUUGA